AGCUCAGGCUCCCGACUUCAUUAAAGAUCUGAAAGUCCCUGUGCUGUGAGGUGGUAAUGGGUGUGACCAUUAAAGCCACAUGAUCUGUGUUCAAGUCCUGGCUUCACCACUUAUUAACUGUGUGAUCCUGGCAGCACGUCGUGUGAUGUCACCAAAUGGAGGCACGGUCAACUAGUCACUCUGAGGAUGGAGUGUCCUCCGGUGAGAAGCCUGGCCCCCCAUGGGGAGGGUCAUCUUCCAGAGAGAAUGCCUACUUCACCUCAUCUUUCAGGGGCCCUCUUCCUGACCGAAAGGCCGAAGGGAAUCCUGUGAGCAUGCAGCUUCUGACCCAGGAAUGAGGACGGGGGACGAGCCGGCGUGGAAGAGGCCAGAGCCACCGCCAUCUUGGGCCAAGUGUCUUGCAAAGGAGGCGGGGGUGUCAUCUGCUCUCGCCGAGGGAAGGGAAAUGAAAGGGUGAUGUGGAGGGACUGUGAGGCGGAAGAGGAGAUGUGAGGAGUCCCUGUGAAGAGGCCUGGACCUUCUCCGUCAGGAGGAAGAGAGAGACACAGGGAGACCACCCCGUAAAGAUGGAGGCCGAGACUGGCAUGAUGAUGAAUCUAAAGGCCAAGGAUUGCAGGCAGCCACCAGGAGCUGGGAGAGGGGUCCGGAACAGCUUCUGCCUCAGAGCCUGCAGAAGGCACCAGCCCUACCCAUGCCUUGCUUUUGGACCUCUAUCCUCUGGAACAGUGAGGGAAUACUUUGUUGUUGUUUUAAGCGAAGCUUGGCCAAGCUUGUGGUACCUUGUUAGAGCAGCCCCAGGGAACUGAUACAGAGGCUGAUGUUAGGAAAUUCUUGCUGUAGAUGCUCCUCCAGAGACACUUGAGAGAGGAACUGAGGCCCCUGCCCUCAGCCACACGGAGCGGGGCCCGUGUCUGAGGAGCUGCAGUGUGGCUGGCUUUGUGCCUAGGAUUCCGUGAGGCUGGAAGGUAACAACCCCAGGGUGGGCUCAUUCUACUGAAAAGCUGAGGGGGCAGAGUAAAAUGGGACCUGUCCAAAGUGUCAAUCUGAAGGUAAGACAAGGACAAAGGAGUCAGUUGAUUCAUUCAUUCAUUCACUCACUCACCUCUUACUUAGGGAGCCCUACUAUGUGCCUGGCCCUGGGAACACAAAGUCCAGAGACAAGAACCAGCCUGCCCUGCCCUCAGGAAGCUUGAGCCUGAGGGGUUCAUGCUCAUCAACCAGGAGGUUGGGUCCAUGAGCAUUAAGAUUUCUUCCAGCUCUGACAUUUGGUGACUAAAAGGGAGAAAAAGGGUGAUCUGGCUGGGGGCCAUCACGCUGCCACCAGGGCAUUUUUGGGGGCCACUGCUGUCUCUCUGCCUGGACAAGGCCAAGGAGGGGCUAUAGGGGAUGCGAGCCCAUGAGGACGUGGAGCUGGACCCCUAAUUUCCUCUACAGGCACAGGUGGUGAUGUACACUGUCGGGGACAAAUGCUGGCCCUGCCUGACCAGUGCAGCCACUGGCGGGACACUAUCUGCGGCGAGACGGGCCUCAGCGGCCACCACUAAUUGUACAAAACUGAAACAUCUCAAGAAUAUUUUCAGCCCAUUUGCACUUAUCAAAUAGCACACUGGAAACCCCAGCAAUUUGUGUAGGAUCCUUUCCAGAAUGAGGGAGAUUUCACAAACUUGGCCUCAUGCAGGGUGAGCUGCUUGGGAUUUCAGCCUCAGAGUGGGCCUGGCCUCCUUGUUCCCAUUUGCCCCACCUUCUCCCAGGGCUCCAGCCACUCCCCAGCACACCUGGCCGCACCAUGCAAGGCAACUCUGAGACAGACACCCCAGCCACAAGAUGUCUGUGUUCCUUUGGCUCUUUGGCUUCUCCUUCUUGGCAUUUUUGGCAGUUCCAUGGUGCUCAGCAGCUGGGCAUCUGGCCGACUAAGAAAUGCAAAGUUCGGGGCCUGAAGCCGCUGCUGCCUUGGCUGUGGUUUGUCUGAAGCUCCAUUUCAUUUGGGCUAGAGGUGAACGCUUCCCUCCGGAGACCCCUGCAGGCGGGGUCUGAAGCGAAGGUCAAGGAACGGUCGCUUCCACCGUGGCUGGGUGGCGUUCGUCUGGCACAGACACAGCCUGACAACAUGCUGACGGGUGGCCCAGGAGCAGCGACAGGGCCAGCGGACUGGAGGAGCUGCCCGAGGCCAGACACGGCUUACAGGCCUCCCUGCUCCUUCCCGGCCACAGUUGCACAACAGCCCUGACUGUUAGCUCCCCAGACGCUUUUAUUAACAGUCCCAUGUUACCCGACAAUUGAACAUAAUUAAGACAGAACAACCUUUGCAGUUGACUUUACCUUUUAAGACCUCACAGACUUUUACAAGGACAUCCCAGAAUGGCUGCUUUUCAAAGGGAAGCCAAGAGAUAUGCUGAGAGCCCCAAGAAAGAGGGGAACCCCGAAACGCCUCAUACUCAUAAACAAAAUGAAGAAAAAACACAUACUGUGAUUUACAGUUAUAGAAGUAACAGACGGUCACAGAGGACAAUUUGGAGGGUACAGCAAAGUAAAAGAAAUGAAACAGAAGCCACUCACAAUCCCACCCCCGGAGACCACUGUCAGUGUUUUGGGGGAUACGUAUCCUUCCCGAAUAUGAA